rnacentral:tRNA from 1 species
GUGGUUGUGACUCAGUGGUAGAGUGCUCAUCUCGCAGUUGUAAGGCAUUGGGUUCAAUCCUCAGCACCACA